AUCUGGGCGGCGGAAUUCAGAAUGGCCGGCGUGCUUUCGCGGUGCGUCGGUCGUUUGAUAUUUCCGUCGCCAAUUUCGCAGACGUCGCGACCUGUUCGCGGUCGGUCCCUGCUCGGAGGAGCCGCGUUCGAGCUCGUUGUGUGCACGUUUCGGCGUGUCACACGGCGAAGGCGCGGAUCUCUGGCUGGCCGUCGGACAGUAUGCUUAACGGUGUCCGGUGUCGUCGUCUCGUACGCGCGGCACCGGUACCGGUCAGCGACGAAUUCUUCGGGCCUCUUUCCGACCCGUCUUGAAACACGGACCAAGGAGUCUAACAUGCGCGCGAGUCGCGGGGUAUCGAGCGUACUUCGGUGCGUUCGUUAUGUUGCGAAACCCGUACAUGUCGAAGGCGUAAUGAAAGUGAAUGGGGAAGAUGGUGUUCCGAGUUCACGUUCCGCGAUCGCUGGUAUCGCGGCCGGACACCCGCACUCCCGGGGCGUCUCAACGGCCCGUCGCUGAUGCGGACAGUCGUCUCUCGGGGCGGCUGUCGGUCGGCGACGAACCGA
rnacentral:rRNA from 1 species